CUUCUCUACCUCUCUUCCUGCUUCCUCGCUUCCCUCACUCUCCUCCCCCUCCUCGCUACCUCUCUAUUGUCCUCCUCCCACUUCUUCUGAAAACUCACUUCUAUCGCCCUAUCUUAUUCAUCCUCUCUCCCUAUCUCGUGUAACAGGAGUGGCUUGCUCAUUUUCUUGAUGUGACAACCCAAUACCAACACUUGUCCCUUUUCUUGAUAUGCAAUUUCUCCUUACGGUAUUCUCGUUUUGACAUUGUUUGCAGGAGGUGGAGGCGCGACGAGUCACCACCUCAUGAGGCAUUGUUGAGAGGAAUGGGUUUGUGAACUUGUUAGCAUCAUCCGUUUUUAAUGCCACCGAAUCUUGCCAAGAGUUCAACACUAAACUGCAGGUAUAUAUGGGAGUCCACGGCUGAUGGGUUAUUUGCAAUUUCUUAAGAUGUAUGGAAUAAACCCACUUUGAACAUGGAAAUGAGAUCAGAUUGCAUCUUAGAAUUUGGAGGAAUAUAAAUUAAAAGUGGGUAUAUUGAUUCCUAGAUGGAUAGUCCUAUGCUCUUAUUAUUGUCUACACUUUCUUCCUUGAAUGUUGCUAAUCACAGUUCAAAUAUUUUGUUGCAAGAUGCAACAACUCUGUCUUUUAAGUUCUUUAACAUAUAGUCAAUAUCUUCCGAUUGGAAGAAGUAGAUUUGGUUUUAUAAACAUCUGAUUUUUUUGGUUCACUGUUUUUCGAUGACUCCAUUUGACAACAAUUCGAACAUGCGAAUUCUGAUGGGUGUUCUUGACUUGAGAGUUUUCCUCUCCUUUCCCAGUGUACUCUUCCAUUCCCACCGUCUUCUUCCAUUUGCAGGGAAAUAUAAGAUGGUUGCUUGGUUUUUGAUUCCUAUGUUCUGAUUAUUUUGUGUUUAUUUGUUUUGUAGGAAUUCUAUUGUAGCAUGCGAGUAGUAGAUGCUAUGGAAUCAUUUGGGUAGAAGAUGCUAUGGAAUCGAUCUUUUCAUGAUCUAACUAUUUGAUUUGUUUUCUUACAGAACAAACAAGUGUGGUUUUAGAGCCUUGAAAACAACAAACAAGCGCUGUUUUCCCCAAAUUUGUCAAUGUCAUCUCUGUCAACAACCAAAAAAAAAAAACAUUCAUUAAUUAUGUGGGGAAGGAUAAUAUGAAAACGUUAGUGAACACUGAACAAUUAAAGUUUUUAAUCCAUGAACCUUAUGUUUAGCUUCUUUUGUUAUUCUAUUUUCUUCAUUUUCAAUCCAAAUUAGAUAUAAUUGUAACUUACCUUGUUUUUUUUUUGUUUUAGUUUUGCAUUGUACAAAAUUUCCAAUUUUUGUGUUGAGAUCCUUGGUAAAAUCAUAAAUUUUUUUAGUGGAAGGUUUCUAAGACAACAAUUUCUAUCCAUUUUUCUCAUUUAUUAUUGUUUGUAUUGGGUCAAAUGAAUUGAUCCAUCAUUAGUUGUGAAUAUAUUUGUAUUUAUUUGGAUAUCAAAGUUUUUAUUUGGUUUUACAUUUUGGUUAAUAAGAUGAAGUCCAAAAGUUAAUGCUUCCAAAUCUAAACUUAGAAGCACCUUCUCUUAUAUGGCUUAUUCAAUUCUCUUUUCCAAGACUUUGGCUUGCCAGGGCCAUCAUUGGGCAAUGUUCCUAUCUUGUAUCCUGCGUGUGUACUUUAUGUAUGUGAUCCUGUAUUAGAUGGUUAUAAAUGUGUUAUCCAUUUGUUUAUUCUUGGUAUCCAAGCAUUUUAGACAAUGACAAUUUAAACCUGCAUCCUACAUGUGUCCCAUGCAUUUGGGUUGUUGGUAGUUUGAUCUCACAAUUUAAUGAGGGUUGCGUUAGAUGUUUAAUUCAAUGCUACUACAAUUUUUUUCUACUGAAACGACGCUGUAAUUGACUGCUUAUUCUAUGUCCUUUCCCCUUCUCCAUUUUUCAUAGUCUUUUGUCCCUACUUCUUACACAAAUAUUUGUUUGAUUUUGAUGGAGGGUAGCAAAGAUUGGGCUCUGUCCACUAGAUAAGAUGUUUGCAGUUUGCAAAAAGAUGAAAUCUCCAUCAAUAAAUUGCAUGUGAUUGAUGGUGGAGAUCCAUCCUUCAAGAUUGGAUAAAAGGACCUACAA